AGGUAUGGGAUGAGCAAUUCUGUAAAGUGGGUAUUUAACCUGCUUUUGGUGAACUAUUUUGUAGAGACAAACAGGCUUUUGGGGGAAUAACAAACACAUAGAUACUCUUAUAUGUGCAUUGUAGGAGCCUACCUCUGGGAAUAGGGCUUUUUAUUAUAAAAUUUAGCAGUGUUACAACAAUAGUGUUUUUUAAAUAUCUGUGUGUUUUAAAGGCUGACCCAGUGGAAAGCUCUGAGGUACAUAGCUCAAGGCACUUGGCUAUUUCAUUCAAUCUUAACAUUGCUAAAAAGCUGUAGAAACUAGAAAUCAUGUUGUGACUGGUAUAUCUACCACAUAGAAUCAUAGAAUCAACUAGGUUGAAAAAGACCUUUAAGACAUCAAGUCCAACCAUUACCCCAGGAAUGCCAAGACCGCUUGGCUUAUUAGAGGAAGAUUGGGAGGAAGGGAGGGGAGAGUUAUGCUAUACUCUGUUUUUAGGCUCAAUAAACAUCUAAGUUGUACUUAGAUUCAAGAUCAGAUCAGAGUCCCACUUCUGUUAGCAGUAAGCCAAAGGCUGUAGUUGUUCAUACACAAAGAUUAGAGAAUGUGAGUGUAUUGCUGGGUCAAUUGUAGGCAGAGCUGCAUUAUGAGAAUAACCCUUCUUGCAAAAUCAUGUAUGCUGGAGUCACACUGUUUCUAGCAGGCUCACUGGUUGAUGACAGCAGCUUUAUUUCCAUGUUGAAAGACUUUGUUUAGAUGGAAAAUAAAAGGUGUCUCUCAAAAUAGUUUUUCUACUUUAUUGAGUUCAACCAAUCCCAAAAUGUUAAAUAAGGGCUGAAGUACCAUGGUUGGGGUCUGUUUGUCGUCAGACCUGGCUCUGUAUUUCACGUACCAAGUGAUGUGAUUUUAGCCCACUUGGUCUCAUUUCCGUGGUGCUCCAGAAUCAUCAAACCCUCCCAAUUUUGGGAAGGACUGGCUCUAGAUGAUGCGAUUCUGUACUAUCUUGAAGAUAGUGGUUGAAGAACCACGUGGAUGAGGAACGCCUGGUAGGGAAGGAGAAGAGCAUUGCAGGGCAAUAGCAAUAAUGAAUAAGUGCUGCAAUACUCAGUGGAGGUGGCGAGUUCUCUAGCUUAUUGGGUGGGGUCUUGGUUCAUGGUGUUGAAAGCAGUUGCAAGCUCCCAAAUGGCAUUACAACUUCUGUUCUGUGUCCUUUUGCUUUAAUGUCGGAGCUCUGUUUACCCAAAUUUUCUCUGCUGAAAUUACAUCAGCAAUACCAUGAAGUAGGAAUACCUUAAUCGAGAAGGCAAUAGCACUGGUCUCCAGUGAGCCAUAGAUGAACUGGUGUCCAUCUGCUGGAAGGGGUUCUCCCUACGUCGGGAUAUUUCUGUGCCUUAUCAUACUUGCUAAAGGUGACUUGGUGACUGGAAGUUGCCAAGGUUUGGUUUGGUUUGUGGUGACUGUAGAGGAGACUGUUUUGCAGGUAACAGUUCAGAGCAUACCAGAUUUUGAAGUUUUUAUUUGCUUUUUCAGUUUCUUUCAUGAUCACCUCCUCUCUCUUCCUCAAUACACAGAAAUGAAAUGCACAGGGUCUUCAUUCUAAUUCAACAAAUCACAUUGACCUACUUUGUUAUAGCAGUUCUCUGCAGGCAGAAUCCAGAAUGCGCUUGUAGCAGCAGUCUCCCCUCUUACUACAGAACACAGCUAAGAUGUACAUUGUUUGUUUUGGUUUGCCUGUGGCUGUACCACAGAACUUGUGGUCCCUACUUGUUCUUAGCUUUAUUCUGCUCUUCUCAUGUUAGCCAAACUGGUAAUGGACUUCCCAGUUCCUCCCCCUCAGCUCGAGUAUCGCUGCGUUCUUCAGGCAGCACUUGCAGCACAGUUAUGACCUGGAAUAUUUUGCUGUAUUUCAACUGCGGAAGCAGUUUCAGUGGUUGGAGACUUCGCUCAAGACACCUGUUCCCAACCCUACACCAAUGCAAUUAUCUCCACCCGCAGCCGGGACACAUAUACGGGUUUUUAACUGGUGCAGAUGCAGCCUCAGCACUGUCAGCUCUGCGGCACUGUCAGCUCUGCGCCUUCAGCCUUGAGACUGCAGCGUGCGAACAGGCUGUGGGAGAGUCGGUGGCCCUGGUGCUGCUGCAUGUCCGGGGUAGCCACAGAUGACAGCAAGCCCUCUGCAAUAACGCGUGAUUCCAGCGAUCUGCAGUAAAUGAUGUACAAAUAAAACUUGAUGACAUGUAUUUUAUGUGAAAAAAAAAAA
ensembl:lncRNA